GACGAACGCUGGCGGCGUGCUUAACACAUGCAAGUCGAACGGAAAGGCCCUGCUUUUGUGGGGUGCUCGAGUGGCGAACGGGUGAGUAACACGUGAGUAACCUGCCCUUGACUUUGGGAUAACUUCAGGAAACUGGGGCUAAUACCGGAUAGGAGCUCCUGCUGCAUGGUGGGGGUUGGAAAGUUUCGGCGGUUGGGGAUGGACUCGCGGCUUAUCAGCUUGUUGGUGGGGUAGUGGCUUACCAAGGCUUUGACGGGUAGCCGGCCUGAGAGGGUGACCGGCAACAUUGGCACUGAGAUGCGGCCCAGACGCCUACGGGAGGCAGCGGUGGGGAAUAUAGCAAGAGGGGCGGAGGCCUGAUGGAGCAACGCCGCGUGCGGGAUGACGGCCUUCGGGUAGGAAACCGCUUUCGCCUGUGACGAAGCGUGAGUGACGGUAAUGGGUAAAGAAGCACCGGCUAACUACGU
rnacentral:rRNA from 1 species